UGUCUGUGUGCUAUUUAAACAAUAUAGGGUAGUAAAUAAUUAACUUCAUUUUCACCUCGACCAAGGAAAUGCACAGUCUCACAAGAACAUUUAAUUGUCCUCACCAAUAUGUACAGUGCUUUAGACUAUGCCAUACAGGUGGAAAAUGUUCAGAUUGCGCAGUGAGACAAUUCUGUGAAGCAUGAUAUGCGUUUCAAAGGUGUCAGAGUGUUUGGUGUUUGGCCAGGCCAGCCAGAGCAUAAUAAAACAAGUGGUGGAAUAUACUACCAUUAAGGUCCAAGUGUGCAGAUGAGGUGACAAAGUGCAUCGUCAAAUUCUUCUACCAGUUUGAAGCACCAAAGAGGAUCCUCACUGACCAGGGCCGGGAGUUUGUCAAUGCGGUAACUUUGGACUGACUUUCCAAAUAUAAAAUGUUAUCAACAAGAGAGUGUGUGAGAAGUUGGGCAUAAAAAGAAAUCUGUGCUCUCCAUAUCAUCCUCAAACAAAUGGCUUGGUGGAGAGGAUGAAUGGGACAAUUCAGAGCGCCCUGAGCAAACUGGUGGGAAAGAGGACGGACACUUGGGAUGAGUAUCUUGAUGCAGUGAUGUUUGGACUGUGCACCAAAAAGCAAAUUACGACAAAAUUCUCACCUUACUACCUUAUGUUCGGAAGGGAGGCUCGCUACCCAUCAGAAGUCCCUGAGCACUACCAGGUAGACAGUAGUGCUGAGGCUGUCAUUGGCGAAAAGGCAGUGUCAGAGGACAUUAAACGGCUGGAUGACAUAAAAAAACAUAGUCAAAGAAAAUACUGAAAAGGUGCAGGACUCCACACAGCAGAGGUCUGGAGCUCCCAAGUCUGACUUCAAAGUUGGAGACCUAAGAAAACAGUAGAGGAAGGGUGGCAAACUGGAAACUUCACUGGGCCCUUUGUGAUUACUGAGAUACAGGGCAAGAGUGCAGAUCCAUUAAUCUGCAUGAUGCCUGGGCAAGGAAAAAUGCCCAUGUGAUUCUCUCUAAGAUUGGCCCAUACAAGUUGUUUUACUGGGACAUUGCAAACCAGGAACUUGAGAGUGA